rnacentral:lncRNA from 1 species
GUCUGCGCCGUGGCCGCCGCCGCCGCCGCUGCCUGUCGCCGAGCCUGGCAUCUCCGAGCCCCCGCGCGGGGGGCUGCCGCCCAGCGCUGAUUGACAGCCCGCCUCGCCAAUGCCUGGAGGGAGAAAGGAGGUGUCUUUGUGGGCACCGAGGGAUAUAAUGAUGAGACAUACCAGGGUCCGUUGAGGGAAUAAGGAGAAGAUAAUAAAUUAGUCGCCAACUUGCAAAAUUUUGAGAGCCGUAAUUACUGAGAAAGGAUUUGUCUGACAGCAGAGAGACAGUUUUCAAAUCAGCAGCUGUGUGAUCCUUUUAAAAUAGAAUUGUGCUUCUCUUGGGUGGGUGUGGUGAUAUAUGCCUAUGAUCCCAGCAUUUGGGAGUCAGAAGCAGGCAGACCUCUGUGAGUUCAAGGCCAAUCUAGUGUACAUCAUGAUAUCUGGGACAGUCACAGGGCUACAUAGUAACACCCUGUAGAGACCGUGUCUUAAAACAAAACAAGACAAAACAAAAACAACCACACACACACACACACACACACACACACACACACACACACACACACACACAAUCAGCUUCCAGUCUCCCCUUCAUUGUCUUUCCCCUCUGUGGCUACACUUUGCCUCUUAGAGCACAUUCCUCUCUCCACUGCAGCCUCACUGGUCUUUUUGAGCAGGUCAAAGGUAUUUUAGCUGGCAUGUUUUUCCCUGGAGUGUAUACACAGUUCUUUUCCAUAUCUCUGGUACGUUUUCCUGUGGUAUCCCUGUUUCAGUGAGGCCUUCACUAAGCUCCCUGCUUACAACUGUAACCCUGGCCCUUUCUUGUCUCACACACACACACACACACACACACACACACACACACACACACACACACACCUCCCUUCCUAUCUAGCACUGUCACUGUCUGUCAUACUAUGAAGUGCCAUUGUGGUGAGAUUAUAACUCCCUCACAGGAAGGGAGGUCUGCUGAGUCAGCAGGUAGACUAGUGCCUAGCACAUGACGGAGCCCCAGUGAACCUGCUGGGUGAGGAAUGGCUUGAAGAGCUGUGGAAGCAGCUGGAGGAAGUGCUAACAUUACCUAGACGGAGAGGCAGCAGCCAUGCUAGAGGGACGAGAGAACACAGGCAGAGUGUUUCAGGAAGCGCAUCUCCUAUUGCAGCCAGCUCCGAGCAGAGGAAAGGUUCAACCUUCAUUCUCUCUUCCAAAUGAAGUCCGUGAUAGUUUUCUUUCCUUUCUGUAAAGGAGGCUCUGUUGAGCCUGUUUGGAAAAGUGAUGUCCUUUUAAAGAAUAUAUAAAGGCAGUCAUUUU